rnacentral:rRNA from 2 species
CAACUUUCAACAAUGGAUCUCUUGGCUCUGGCAUCGAUGAAGAACGCAGCGAAAUGCGAUAAGUAGUGUGAAUUGCAGAAUUCAGUGAAUCAUCGAAUCUUUGAACGCACAUUGCGCCCUUUGGUAUUCCAUUGGGCAUGCCUGUUCGAGCGUCAUUU